rnacentral:rRNA from 1 species
UACAGAGGGGGCAAGCGUUGUUCGGAAUUACUGGGCGUAAAGGGCGCGUAGGCGGCCUUCUAAGUCGAACGUGAAAUCCCCGGGCUCAACCCGGGAACUGCGUCCGAUACUGGAAGGCUUGAAUCCGGGAGAGGGAUGUGGAAUUCCAGGUGUAGCGGUGAAAUGCGUAGAUAUCUGGAGGAACACCGGUGGCGAAGGCGACAUCCUGGACCGGUAUUGACGCUGAGGCGCGAAAGCCAGGGGAGCAAACGGG